rnacentral:tRNA from 1 species
GGGCGAGUGGUGGAAUGGUAGACACGUUGGACUCAAAAUCCAAUGCUGGCAACAGCGUGAGAGUUCAAGUCUCUCCUCGCCCA